AUCUUAAAUGGUCCUGCUCAGAAAGUCACAAUAUAGACAGUAGUCUUUGCCAUAAGACCUAAACAGUUCAUUUGGGCUCUUCUUAUUUUUUGCCCUGCUGACAUCUUUAACUAUUUACAAUGUGCUUUGCAAGCAAUGCCCUUCUCGAAUCAGCAAAGAGCACAUAUUCAGGUGACACCAAGCAGAGUGUAGCAGAACGGCAGAGCACGGCUACAGUCUUGUUUUGCAAAGCUUCUAGAAAAAGAACUUUACUUUGAAACUGUGAUAAACUGUUGCCAGGAAAGACCACGGUGGAACUGACUUUGCGAGCCCACUGGAAGCUGACUCCACACUGGUCAUUAUUCCAAAAGAGACAGAUAACCUUCUGGUACAUGACCCCCGAUCUCCUAUCCUUCCUGAGGAAACAUUAUUUACGUUUUGGGGGGAGAGGUGCCAGGUGACAACAGCGACGCUGCCAACAUCCGGGAGUUGUUCACCCACCGUACACCAGGAGAGGUUUCUCGAUGCUGUGUUGGUCACUAAUUAGGGCUUUGUGCCUGGGUAGUUUUACUGCUCAAGAAAUUAUCGACUCUACUAACCAUAUUUGUUGCACAUUCAGAUGACUUGUUGCAAAACAAAUGAAUGGAAAUGUUUUCUUUAAUCAGAUUAUUUUUUUAUUUUUUUAUUUUUUUUAUAUUCAAGAGAAGGGAAGAAUUAAAAAAACCCCAAAAACCAAUAACCAACAACCAAACACAAAUAAACUCCAGGAAAGUCAGAGACAUAGUUAGUGGAACAAAAUGUUUCUCUAAACUCAGUCGGGCUGGUUUUAUAUUCCAAACAAACAAAACUGAUAUUUUUUUGUUUUCAUUGGGUUUUCUUUUUAAUGAAAAGCCCCUGUUCAUUAUGCAAAGCUGAAAAUAACAAUGCUAUGCCUAGCUGAAUCGCAAAGCUCAUUAAAAAUAACAUUUUGGGGGGAUGUAAGGACCCAAGAGUGAAAAGAAAUGCAAAUCUUAUGUCUGUAUCGAGUUGUCUAGCAACUGGAUAUAAAAGAAUCUUUUUGAGUACGUUCUGCGAAUCCGCUAGGUUUUACAUGGGUCUGUUCAGGCACCAUUACCCAGCUCAUCAGAACCUUCGCAAGCAGGAUAUGUACAACUUCACACUCCAACUAGCCUCCCCGUUUGUUCCCAUCGGUGUUUUAUACCUUUCCACACAUUGGGAAUUUUCUUCUUGAAGCCUUGAGCUUCUAACAUGUCCCAUCUUGACAGUCCAGCCUGUCUCUGCAGUUUCACCUUUCUCAUUUUCCUACUGACUUUUUUCACAGCAGUAUGAUCCAGCGCUAUAUAGUUGUACCAUACCAGAGCUGCGACCUGAACCCUUGCUAAACACAGGGCUAAAACUGUUGUGGGGUUUGGGGUCAGGGAUUGGAGGGAGGGUGUUUAGUUGGGGUUUUGGUUUUUUUUUUCUCUGGGUGGUUUGUAUUUUUUUUUUUUUUUUAAAGAUCCCAGGGGCACAGAAAAGGAGGCUCACAUAAUAGUUUGGCUCCCGUGUUUUCCAAGGCAAUUGUAUUUCUUUCAUUCUGGUCAACGCAUUUUCCCCUUUAAACUCCGUAGUAAAUAGUUUUCCUUCUUUCCUCCCCACAUCUUAAUCAGUAAAGGUAGCCUUCCUCCCGAGCCUGCGCAUAGAAAAUUUCCUGACAUUCAAACAUGUGCUGUAGUACCAAAAGAAAGGAAGAAACCCAAACUGAAACAAAAGAAUCAACACAUUGUAUAGCUAAAUCUGAACUAAAUCCAUGUUUAGAGCACAUUCAUUCCUCUGUCUGAGGACAGCAGGCCAGGACCUCAGCCUCAGCUCCCCAGGUAGGGGCAGGUCCCCUCCUUGGCUGCCCUCAGCCCCUGCCUCUCAAUUCAGGUUAUUGUCACCUGCUGCUUUUCAUUCUUCUGCCUCAGGGGAAAAAAAACGCACAGCUGCACUCAUUGAGGAUAGGAAUUCUCUCAAGAAACACUCCUUGCAGGCUUUCCAAUUCUUCUCAAGAUUGUAAUGACUUGGGUAAACAGCUAAAGAACUGGUUUUUUUCCCUGUACUCCCUUCACAUCCUAUUUUCAAAUAAGCACUGCUUAGUUUGAGAGCUUUCAGCUCCCUUGCUCUAACCUAAUGGCUGAGCUUGCACACGCCAGGGCAUUAGCUGGAGGUAUCAAUCUGAAUCUCACUGUCUUAAAAAGGCAGGGCACAUUUUUUAUGACUCCUUCUAGACUGUAUGUCUGCUUUAUACCAGAUAUGAUUUAAUAGACUUUUUAAAGCGAGCCUGUCAUCUGCCUUCCAUGAAUAUGAAAAGAAGCGUAUUUACAAGCUAGGCACCUUAGAAUGCCUUUCAUUGUCCCAGAAAUCUCUUAUUGAAGCAUCUAUUCAAACAUACAUGCUUUUUGGAAAUCUUAAAAACAAUUUCCCUUGCACAGAUAUCUUAAAGUUUGUUUGCUGUUUUCUGCUUUACUUCUUAUCAGGUCUGAGAAUGGUGUAUUACGCAGGCAUCCUGCAGUAUGGGAGGAUUUCAGAAAUAUAUUGGUCUGCUCCAGAAUCCAUCAUUUAUUAAUCACUGCGCCUGGUGCUGUUCCUGCCAUCUAUCCUCAGUCACAGCCUGAGUCUCUUCAGAAGCAGAUUUUUAUUUUUUCUUUAAUAUUUUGUAUCCUGCAGCAGGAGUGAAGUCAAUCAGCUUCAAUCAAUGCUGACACUAUGGAACACAAAAGCAGUACAUCAAAAUAGGAAGAUUUGAGGGCA